AAUGAUCGACGAAAAUGUUUAAGGAAUCGCUGCUCAUGUGUAGAUGGAUAUAAGGAAUAUAUUGAUGCUGAUAAAUGUGUACUUGAUUUCUUUAGAAACCCUUUUUAAAAACGGAGCUUCAAAAUAUGGUGAGGAAUGCCUAUUUAGCGAACAAUGUGCUUUUUACGGAGGAGUCUGCUCAAGAAACCGAAAAUGCUCCUGCCGAUCUGGUCAUUUGUACAACAACGAGAAAAAACAAUGUUAUCAAGUGGUAAACGUGCUGGGCUCUGCAGUAGGAACAGGUAUUUUUGGUUUAAUAUUUGGUAUCUUGCUAGGAUUUGUC